rnacentral:rRNA from 1 species
GACAGAGGUGGCGAGCGUUGUUCGGAAUUACUGGGCUUAAAGGGCGAGUAGGCGGUGGAACAAGUCUGAGGUGGAAUCCUACGGCUUAACUGUAGAAUUGCCUUAGAAACUGUUUUACUUGAGUCAGUGAGGGGAGGGCGGAAUUCCUGGUGUAGCGGUGAAAUGCGUAGAUAUCAGGAGGAAGGCCUGUGGCGAAGGCGGCCCUCUGGCACUGUACUGACGCUGAGGCGCGAAAGCGUGGGGAG